UAACUAGCGAUGAGCAAGAGAGUAACGGUGACCACUUGAGGCAGAGAAUCACGGGUGCUGGAACGUGGUGAAGGGGUCACCGGGAAAGUAACUUGUGAGCUGAUCGACUGAACGAAUAAGUAGGUCGGUACCGGAGCACACUCCGUUAACAACGAAGAUAAGUGGGGUUUAAACGCCCAAUUUAGGUGGUACCGCGAAGGAAGCUUCGUCCUAAUG
rnacentral:ncRNA from 1 species